GACUACCCGCUGAACUUUAAGCAUA
rnacentral:rRNA from 1 species